UAGCUGUGAAUUGCUAAACCAGGAGCCCACAUGGAGAACAAACACAAGGGAGAUGAUUGACAGAUCUACUGCGGAGGCAGGUGUUGAGGGAGCAUGCUGCAACAGCGUCUGUAAGGAGAUGAGAGAGUAAAAGAAUUGAGCGAUUCUGUUAUCGAAUGACUAGGUAGGGAGGGACACUACUGUUGCUUUAACACUGAAGGCUUAACUGGCGAUGCAGCUGCUGCAGCGAAAAUAAAAGAAACUGAAGGAUGAGAAAGAUCUUCGAAGCAGAUCGGAGCAGCUACUUCUGCAGCCAAAGCCAACAUCAAUCUCUGUCUAAUUAAAAACAUGGGGCGCUGGUCCUCUGCUGCAGGGUAGCAGCGACUCUAUUGUUUGUCUCACAGUGAGGGUCUGCGGGAAGCUAGGGGUCCAUCCUUUGGGGGGUUAAGAGAGGAUGCACUUCCCCGAUCUCAGGUUCCCCGCGUGAUGCCUUCCCGCUCCCGGCUUUGGAGGCCUGUGCCUCACUUCAUGCGAGGGCAGCACUAGACCAGUCAGGGAACUCUUUACUAUCUCUCCUUUCAGUCCUAAGCUUUUGGAUUAUUCCUAUCACUAAGAGAGGCGCCUCUGCCAAGCCAAGUUUUCAGAUCCUUAGGAACGUGACCAAGCUCUGUCCUCGGCAAUAGGAGAGCACAUCGUUCGGGACCUCUUUUUCUUUUAUCCUAAUUUCAAGCACGGGCCUCUCUAAGCCCGCACCUAAUUCCGAGCUAUGGGCUUGUCACUCUAUCCUUGGCCCUGCGUCCUCCGCUCGAUACUGUCUUACUAACAACUCAUUUCUGCUUCCUCUGCUCUAUCCUUACAGCCCCUGAGGGCACCCCGUGAAUGACUGUAUAACACAUAAAGGUUUAAUCAUUUUGAUAUCUUUAUGUUAUGUAAAACUCCUAACAUAAAUGAUCUAUUGUUAUGUGAGUUUUUUUUUUAAGCCACCAACAGCAUUCUUAUUUUAUCCCUGCAACUGACACCUAGAAUGUGUUCGUUUUAUUCUUGGUAGGGGAUAUGACAUACUUUCAUACACUACUAGUUUCAACAUGCAUUACUAUCAGCCAGCUGAAAUAUUUUAGCAUGUGCCCAUACCUGGAUUUUUAUUGUAGCGCUCUAUGAAAACAAGUCAUUCAUUUGGAAUUGAUGACUUAUUUUUACUGUUUGCCAAUUAAAAAUUAAACAGGACAAAAAAAAAAAAAAAAAAGAUUAAUGGUCCAAUGAAAAAGAUCAUAUAGCCACAACAGAAAUAGAAAUGUCUUGUGGCAAUUUGACAUGUUUAUGUAUUCAGUAUUUUUCUAGUUUUUGGCUGUAUAGUGUCUAAACUGAGUCAAGGAACUUGCCAAAUGCAUUGUAGAGAAAUUACAAUACAUCAUGAAUGUUCAAACUGUUUACUGUAGAGAGAGUCUGAAUAAGAAACAUGACCCCACUAGCAAUGAGGUUCAAAUCUGGGUGAUCAUUUUGAAACCAUUUUGUCCUGUCAUAAUCCACAUUACACAAGUUUUUUUUUUUUUUUUUGUUCCUCACAAUACUGUGAGGCACGCUCUAUUCCAUUUCCUUCUGUUUUGUAAUAUCAAACAAGAAUGCAGAUCUUGGUAUCGGUGUCAGUUCCUGGUUUCUCUUACACAUUGCCAAGCCCUGAGAGCAAGACAAAUAAUUUGAAUAAUUUUGAAUAAUUUCAGCAACAGAAAGUAACUGCAACAGUGUAUCAUCAAAUCUUUCUGUUCAACUGUUCUCUUGCUGUAUAUAAAUCUAUAACUGUAAUAUAAAAAUCUCUUUCCACAAGUUAAAAGGAUACUACUUUUUGGGGCAUUUGAAGGAAAGGGACUGUGAAUGUGUCCUUUAAAGUAUUGUUCAAUGAACAUUAUAAUGCAUAUUGUAGUUGUGGAUGUCUAGGGAUCUAUUCUUAAAGGUUUAACGCCUGUCAAAAUGAGAAAACAGGAGAAUAUGAUCGGAUUUUGUCCAUAGCCGCCUAUUUUGCGGCAGUUGCUAUUCAUAAGAAAUAAUUCAGAUGCAUCAUUAAGCCCAACGAUUUUUGUCUGUGAAGUCAUGUUUCUAACGAAUUGAGAGAAAGGUUAAUGAUUACCUUAUUAGCAUAAAGUUUUCAUCGGUGCUGAGUGUCAACCUGCUAUUCAUAAGAGUGAACGACAGUAAAAUGCAGCUGAUAACUUGGAGUUAUUGGACACUUUCUGCAGUCAAGUCUAAAUUAACUACAGCCUUGGCAGACAAUUUUUUAAAGACA